GUGGGUGUAGCUCAGCUGGUAGAGCACCGGGUUGUGGUCUCGGGUGUCGCGGGUUCAAGUCCCGUCACUCCCCCCA
rnacentral:tRNA from 1 species